AAAAAGACCCUCGGCAACGGAUAUCUCGGCUCUCGCAUCGAUGACGAACAUAGUGAAAUGCGAUACUUGAUGUGAAUUGCAGAAUCCCGAGAACCAUCGAGUCUUUGAACGUAAGUUGCGCCCGAAGCCAUUAGGCCGGGGGCACGUCUGCUCGUGCAUU
rnacentral:rRNA from 1 species